rnacentral:rRNA from 1 species
GACGUAGGGUCCAAGCGUUGUCCGGAUUUACUGGGCGUAAAGAGCGCGUAGGCGGUCUUGUAAGUGUGAAGUGAAAUCUCCAGGGCUCAACCCGGAAACUGCUUUGCAUACUGCAGGACUAGAGGGAUGCAGAGGUUUGUGGAAUUCCUGGUGUAGCGGUGAAAUGCGUUGAUAUCAGGAGGAACACCCAUGGCGAAGGCAGCAAACUGGGCAUCACCUGACGCUGAGGCGCGAAAGCGUGGGUAGCAAACAGG